rnacentral:rRNA from 1 species
ACAAGCGGUGGAGCAUGUGGUUAAUUCGAAGCAACGCGAAGAACCUUACCAGGCCUUGACAUGCAGAGAACUUUCCAGAGAUGGAUUGGUGCCUUCGGGAACUCUGACACAGGUGCUGCAUGACUGUCGUCAGCUCGUGUCGUGAGAUGUUGGGUUAAGUCCCGUAACGAGCGCAACCCUUGUCCUUAGUUACCAGCACGUUAUGGUGGGCACUCUAAGGAGACUGCCGGUGACAAACCGGAGGAAGGUGGGGAUGACGUCAAGUCAUCAUGGCCCUUACGGCCUGGGCUACACACGUGCUACAAUGGUCGGUACAAAGGGUUGCCAAGCCGCGAGGUGGAGCUAAUCCCAUAAAACCGAUCGUAGUCCGGAUCGCAGUCUGCAACUCGACUGCGUGAAGUCGGAAUCGCUAGUAAUCGUGAAUCAGAAUGUCACGGUGAAUACGUUCCCGGGCCUU